rnacentral:rRNA from 1 species
AUGAUGCAGGAUGGAUGGCAGGGGAAGAAGAAAAAAAGAAGAAAAGAAAAGGUGAAACAUACAAAAGUAAAAAAUGGCAGUUUUGCCCCUGGGGGGGUGCAGGCAGUACAAGUAAAGACAGACAGGCAGGCGAUGAGGGAGUCGGAGCCACCAAAUAGAUCCCCCCCUACCCUCCCCCCUCUGCUCCGCUCUGCCUUGCUUCCCCUCCCACCGACUCCUCCCUCCUCCAUUGAUGGCCGCCACCAAGAACCCCCCAACCCCCACCUGACCGCCGCGCGUUCUCGCCCGCCUUGCGCCGAGAGGAGGAGCCGGACCUGUUGUUAUUAUCUUGUUUCAAGGCGGGGGCUUUAA